AAAGUCACCGAGAGGCCUGACCCUGACGGGUGGGGGAGAUGCGCGUGCGGAGUAGCGGGAAGCGACUGAGGAGCGGGGAAUGGGCAGCAUUUGAAUGGAUGCGGGUGCCGCUGGCACCCGGGAAGACGCUGGGGGCCGGCGCUGUAGAGCCGGGCAUGGGCUGGGAUGUGUUUGGAUUCCAAUCCGGGCCUGACACCAGUUCAGUGACCUCGGGAAGUUCCCCAACCCUCCGGGCCUGUUUCCUCCCUCUGAAGUGGCGACAGUAGUAGAACCGACCUCGUAGGCUCAUCGGGAGGUCCUGAUGGGAGAACCCAUGCAACUUGCCACCAUAGAGCCAGGCCCGCGGCGGUUGGCGCCUGGUGGGUAUUAAAGACGAGUCGGGAAAGAAGAGCAGGUUGAUAGACUGGAUGCUGCUAUGGUAAUCUGCCUCAGGAAAAUGCCGGACUGUUGUUUGCAAGCUGGUUAAGUGAGCAAAUCUUGGGAAGAUUUCAAGGUAAGAGUUGUAACUUCGGAAGUUAG
rnacentral:lncRNA from 10 species